CUUGCAAGAGGUGUACAAUAACUGAUGCUGUUGACUUUUCUCCCCUCUCUCUGUAGACAGACAGCUACCACCUGGCUUGCCUUGAGGAAACAAUCCAACAAACCCAACCCCUAGAGGACAGUGUGCUGAGGCUGUUUCACUGUCCCCCGAAGCUGGCUGGGUUAACUGGCUGGUGCAAUGCUGUGUCUGCAUACAAGUGCCAGCUCCAAGGGCAGGGAAGGGCUGCUCUGCAUUCCCACUUAACCUGCUGGCUCUCUGGCAGCAUGGCAAAGCAGCAGAAGUCUCAUGGCUUGUGCUGAAUGGAUUUCAUUGCUAGCAAUCUGUUCCCUAAGCAGACCUGCAGCUUCAAUAUUCUCUCUUCCACCAUGUCUGCAGGAAAACAUGUUCCCCCUGAGGAACAAACACCAAGCAAGCCAGGAGAGGUGGUAUUUUCUCCUGGUGAAAUUAUGGCUAAAAAGCUCCAUGCAGCUUUUCCAGAGCUGUGAGGCUUUGCCACAGAUGGGGCCUGUUGGAUGUGCUUGGAGUGUGCUUCCUGCCCUGCCACCUACCACGAUGCUCGAUUCACUCUGAACUCCAGGACCUCCUCUGGGUGUUCUUGUACAAGAGCUAGAGCUUCUCUAUGUGAAGGACAUCUUGGAUUUCUAAAAGCAUAACCCUAAGGCUACAAAAGGACAGAGAAAAUGCAAGAGGUAGAACGAGGAAUACUCAGUACCUCUCUGUACUUGUUUCAUGCAGGAGAUCCCAUAAAGAAGAUAAUGCGAUAUGACAGUUUCACUACACUGAACCUCCUUUUUUGCCUGAAAAACUAUUUUUCUUAGAAAUUUACCUGGAAAUGGGCUUAUGACUCUCAUUGGUAUGUUAAUUUCCUUGCAUUAAUUGGAAACUGCUAUAUGGAAUUAUUUGUGUUAAUGUAUUUGGGGUCUUUAUUGCAGAUGCUCUGUGCUUAUCUUGCAUGAGGAGUGAGCAAUUUAUCUUGUGUUUUUUCGGAAUUCCUCUAGUGAAAAUACUAGAAAUUUUGAUAGUACUUGGGGCAUGGAAUAAAUUCCAUAAAAAUCAGGUCUUUAGUUUUAUA
rnacentral:lncRNA from 1 species